rnacentral:siRNA from 1 species
GGGGGCCUGCGUUCGCGCGGUC